AGUUUGCAAGUGGUGUUCCUUGUACCAUAGAGGGACGUAAUGCGGCUUCCAAGAACUAUAGAACCAAUUCCUCCAUGAGUCAUCCUGACGAAACGCCAACACAUUCAACACAAAAAGCAUUGUCUUGAAAGUUUUGUUGUGUGGCUUCUUGCAGCCAGCCGUGUGGACAGUGAAGAAGCAGAUAUUGCGCGCUGAAAACAUCACCUCAUCACAGAUGCAUCGUGCACUGUGAGUUGACAGUCCCUUCUUGUGUGCUUCGACAACCACUAUUCUUGGGACUCAACAUACAACAGGACACUAUCUUGUGGCCUCCAGAGACGAGUACAACCUGCGCUAUGGGAAACCGGUACACAUCUUUGUGGAAACUGGCCCUGAGAAGUUUCUGAAGAUCAGGAGUAGAGAUCACAAAAUGAAAAGCUUUGUGUCAGUAACAUGUCUUGAGGAGCUAAUCGGAGUUGCUGUGGGUCAUGGAAUUUGUCAGGAGGGCAACAUACAGGUGUAUUUAAUGGAUGAGUUAUCACUUCGCUCUAUGGGUGCUGGUGCUGAGAAAUACCUCAAUGGAAUUUGUUAAAAAUGGACUAUGGAAACAAGAUCAGUCAACAUGUGUGAGUGCACCUUCACCAAUCCCACAAAUGCCUCUGCUCUCACGAAUUUAUUACCCUUGGGAGAGCCUCAGCAAGACAGUACUUGAUGCAUUGGAAGCAGACAACGUUCUGCUUCCCUCUCAACGACAGGAAGUGGCACACAUGGCAGCGUCAUGGCCCUGCAUAUCCAUUGAAGGUGGGAGGCACUCCUGAUAUUUAUUCACAGGCACCUGGUUGGUAUCAUUGAGAACGAAGGGAGCAAGCAGGCAUAAAAAAAUCAAGAGGGCUGCAUACAUAAAUGGUCAGGCAACGAGGGCCGCAGAUGAAUAUAGCAAGAAGUAGGAACAUCUCAUGUGAUACAUAGCGGUCAAAUGUUCCCCCACCAAAGCCAUGAAGAAGUUAUUUGCAGUCUUUUCAGUAAUUUCCAAAAUAAAG